rnacentral:lncRNA from 1 species
CAACCUUGUACAGAGGUCACAGUCAUGGGUGGUGUCUUCCUUGGGCUGAGUACAGGGGCAGCACCCUGGGGAACUUAUCCACACAGGUAAAGAGUAGCGGGGAAACAACUGCAAUGAAAUGCUGUUGGCUUCCAAAAGGGAACAUGGAUGGAAUAGGAUAUCUUCUUGGUCAGCUCAAACAACUCACACUGCAAAUGGAUACCAGCACACCAGCGCUCUGCUAAGGCAAAGACUUUCUGGGCCACUUUUACAGUGUGAAUUUUUCCAUUCCUGGAAUCACAGAUGCUAUGAAGAAUUCCCCAAUAUCACUGCCAAAAGGGAGCUGGAGGAGACAGCCAACUGUUGCCUGGGAAUAACUUCACGAAUGAAUGCAACAUUCCUGGAAACUUCAUGUGCAGUAAUGGACGCUGUAUCCCGGGGGCCUGGCAGUGUGAUGGGCUGCCAGACUGCUUUGAUGACAGUGAUGAGAAGGAAUGCCGUUUAGAGUGCUGUCUGAUGUGGCUGUGGCAUCCCUUACCUAAAUUACAAACAGCAGAGGAGUUUAAGGUGGUUCAGUAUCAAAGUCAGGAAAAUACUGAUGGCUUUGCAAUAAUGCAGCAUCUGCAUGCAAUGGUUUCUGUCUGGAGAGCUGCUCUUGUCACAUGUAAGUAAUCAAGUUUUGAUUAGCUGAAUAAAUCAUUGUUGUUGACUUGAGAUGUGUAGCUGUGAAGCAGCAUAAAGUUACUUUGCUUGAUUGCUGCUUGGAGACGUUCUGAGGCAACAAUUUAGUUCAAAAAUGCUCAAGUUCUGUGCAGUUUGCAUCUGUCUGUACGUUGUCACAAAAUGUCAGCUCUUGUAUCUGCUACAUCCUGUUUCCCCACUUAAGAUUAUAAAAUGAUUGAGAAACGUUUUAAAACAGAAAUGUUUGUAAAGUUAAAGGAAGGAAAUAAGCUUGUCUACUGUCCACAUCGUGUAGAGUGUCUGCUGUGUGCUUUCUGUG